GAGGUGAUGGUCUAGUGGUUAAGCGUUGGGCUUGAGACCAGAGGAUCCUCAGUUCAAAUCCCAGUCUGACCGGAAAAUCACCAAAGACCCUUGGGGAAGGUCCUGAAUCCCCAAUUGAUCUGCAGAGA